UCUGGCCCGCCCAGCCCGAGUGCCGCCGCACAUACGCCGCCACCACCAGCCCCGCAGAGCUCCCGACCCCGAACUCCUCCUGUGCGCCUCCUCGUCGGCCUCCUCGCCCGUCGUCCGGUGACCGGCGUCGCCGCCGAAGACCACCUACGUCACGCCGCCGCUCCACUGCCUUUUCUCUCUCCCCUCUCUCUCUCUCUCUCUAAUAUCCUUGUCUCCUUCUCUCUAGGAGCACAGCGCCAGCACCAUGGAUGCCCAGUGCUCGAGCUCACCUUGGAGGUUCGAACGCCGCCACGGGACCUCCACCGGCCAGAUCCGGCGCCUCCCUCCCGGAUCCGUGCGCCCUGCACCUCCUCUACCCGAUCUGGCGCCGCCCAACCUGCCAUGACCUCCACCAUGGAGCUCCUGUAGCUCGUCCCCUGCCUCCUCUUCAUGUGCUCGAGGGAGACGCGCCUCCAGCGCAUCGAGCACAAGGCGCAACCGCGCCAAGGUCUACCCCGGCCACCUCUGCGUCCAGCCGGCCUAGCCCGGGUCCCUGCAGUUAUUUGUCAUUGGAUACUUUAGAAACAUUCUGUAAAUUGGUAUCAGUUGCACACUUUUUGUUUAUCUCCGUAUCUAUGAUGAUUACCCACUCCAAAGCAUCCCCGCGUUAAUCUGGAAUAAAAGGAGAAGAGCAGAACCAGGAUUUUUAUUCAAUGGUGGUUGAUUAGUAUGUAUGAUCCAAUCAAAUGUGUCCAGCUGUCCUCGUGUUCAUCUCCAACCUUUGAAACUCAGUUUUCAAGUUUAGAAAUCCAAUAUGUAUAUUCCAGUACAUGAUUUUAUUUUAUGAUGGUUUAUUUAGUAGGAAUGAUCUAAUCAAACAUGUCCAACUCUCCUGACAGUGUUCCUCUCCAACCAUUGAGGCUCAGUUUCCAAGUUCUGACUUAGCAUCAAUCCAUCAUGUAAAUUCCCAGUACAUGACUUUAUCUCGCAGUGGUUAAUUUAGCAAAUGAGUUGUACCCCGUUGUUUGAAGCGGGUCAGGCGCCGCCUCUGUCUGCGAGGCUUCCACAAGUAAUAUAGUGGCGGCCUGGCGCCGCAAAAAUUUGCUACCUCGACGCCAUUCAACUUCCUCACCAGUCGCUCCUAUGCCCACUCACAGGCAAGUAAAACUUUGCAUCCUUCAAUAAUCUGCUAUUGAUCAAAUACUCGUAUAAUUUAUCUCAAGUAUCACAGUCCAGAUCAUUAAUGUAUUGUUUGUGUUUCUAUCAUGCUAGAUUUUGUUUCAAGUUCAUUUCAUGUGUAAGCAAAUUUAGAGUGUUGAAGUCGUAGUGAAUUAAAUAACAUUUGGAACCUUUGUCUAACAAUCUUUGUCCAAGUCCGAGAUGAACAGGGCAAUCGGUUUUCCAAGAUUGAAAAUUCAUGAAUAAACAGUUGUGAUCCGAAUUUACAGAACCUGAAACUUGAUGAUAGUUACUUCAGUGUGCGCGCACCUUUUGCCAUAUUUUACGUACUGUACAACUACUUUGCUUUUGUCCGAUGAAAACUGUUUGCGACACCUGGCAGCUUGGCCUCCUGGGAAGAAGAGACGAGGGAGAGAGAGGAGGUGAGAUGGAGAGAAGAGAAGGAGGCGGGACGACUUAGACCAGUGUGGCCCUCACUUCAUUACUGCUUUGCCUUGGUUGGCACCGGACACACAGGCCCCGCACAAGCGUGGUCUCGGAUGUCUCUGCUAUGGGAACACAUUGCCGGAUCGCUCUCAUCUAUGACUGUUCCUAUUCCGUGCAUCAUGCCACUCCGAUGGUGUAAAGCUAGCUGUUGUGAUUGUUUGGGUGGUGCACAGCCAAUGUUUGUUGGAAUGCCUAUGCGACAACAGGUAAGUGAUUGACUUUGCAGCAGCAAUUACUGAUGAAGAUUGCGAGCAGGUUCCUCUUUUAGCACGACCGGCUGAGUUCCUUAGUUAAAGAUUUUUUUUACUGAAUUGGGAUGCUUUGCCUGCAUUUAAAAUGGAUAUUGUUGAUUGAUAAGUGUUGACAGUUACUAGCGUUGUUGAUGUUUCAUAGUAUUUUUUCUGGUAGCUCACAACCUCAUGUAGUGCUUGAGAAAACCUGAGAAUAUUGAGAAGCUUCGUGCUGCGAGUGCGAGGAGAUGAACAAGUACUUCUCUCGCUGCAAGUUACGAUCAUCAGUUAGUGUCUACAAUCUUCUUUCUCGGAAAAUAGGGGAUUUAUAUCAGCGUGCCAUCACUGCAAGGAAUCAACACCGUCUCAACGGCGGCAACAGCGGAUACAGAACAACUGAUGCGGCCUGAAGUGGACCUCAUUCAACCUUAAUUCCAGGUAUAGUAAUAACUAUCUUAAUUACCUCUGCUACUAUAUAGCCAUUAGAACUGAUCCACGUAUUCUGUAUAGGUAAUUAGCUUUUGCUGGGUCCAGUUGAGUAUCUCCUGAUCUUUUGAACUUCUUUUUUCAUGCACAUUAUUCGAUGGUGUUUUGAAAAGGCAUACGGCAGUUGUUGUUUUGGAGUUUUGAAACUAUUUCUCUUGCUAUUCUUGCCUCGCAGAAGGCAGGCAAUGCGCGGCAAGCUAUUUCACCUACUUGUUAGAUAUUGCAUCCUUAUUUAUUCUCAACACAUGACAAGUUGAGUUGUUUCUAUUCAUAUAUACUGCAGUAGGAUACACACACAGAUAUUUUGUAAUGUUGUAGCCAACAAAGAGGCACAAAAGAGCAGAUGCAAGUUGCUGUCAACUGGCGCUCCAUCUGGAUUCGGAAUUCAUUUUCAUAUGGGAUGCAUUUUGUGCAGUAAAAAAACCAUUGGCUAGGAAGAAAUAAAAUCAUGAAUUUCCAGCCAAUCAACUACCAAAUAUAGGCCCUUGACAGUAGCAUUAAUUCUGUCUCAUACUUAAAUUUAGUUACGGCAUGUUGGCUUAGGUUGUUCAUAUAAAUUUUCUUAUUAAUUAUGUGGCAUAUCACUUAAUGAGGUUGCCUGUGUGGUAUAUGUUUGGGGCAACUCGGUUUUUUUCUAGAGGCCAGAGCUCAGUGUCUAAUCGCAUCAAAACAUGCUGCUGUUUAGCAUGAUUGGCAUAGCUUACAGUUUUUGUUAAACUGAAUUAGCGAAUAUAUGUUGCUUUUUCACGUGCGCACCAUGUCAUUUGAGACAAUUUCAAGAUCUUAGAAAUUAGCCCCAAGCUUCAAAAUUCCAACAAACUAAUACAAAGAUGAGAUUAUUCAUUUAAAAUUAGCAAGUUAUGAGAGGAGGUUUUGCAUAAAGUAAUUCUACAUGGCGUAAGAUUACAAUAUUCAUUGUAGCAAGAUUUUCUUUCUAAUCUGUGGCACCGUCAAAUUGGACAUCCAUCAUGGUUCAUGACAUUAGGCAUCAAGGAUAGAAGCAUAUAUGUUGGAUAUCUAUGACAUAAAGAGAUUAUCGUUUCAACUACUUGACCUAUCAGUGUUUGGUUAGUUCAAUCAAAUUUAUAGAUUUACUGUUGAUUGUUUGGAUGGUUGGUUAGGAAAGUGAAAAGGAAACUCUUUGAUGUCGACAACUUAGUUUCUCUGUGAUAAUGACAAACUUCUUAAUUUACUCACAAGUGAGGAUCUGAUGUCAGUUAUUUUGUGGAUCAAACCUGCCAGCAAUGACCUUACUUGAACAAUAUCUAUUCUGUGGGAUCAUACCGCUGCAAACGUGCCAGCAAGUAAAUUUGUUGGCAUUUUAUUCUGUUUCAGGAUAACUUUUCUUUUUGUUGCUCAAUAAAAGGAAUAUCCCUCUUCAUAAAUCUAUUAUUUCGCUUUCCCAUGAAGCUGUAGUUCUCUCCAAAUAAUUUUGAGAUUACACUAAGCAGAAGCUGCUAAACAUGCUGUGGAAGCUGAUGCAAAAGCAAACAGUAAAGAGGAGGUUGCUCUGUGUUGCCAUUGUUGUAUGAAUAUAAUGCGACCUUCUGCUACUGUAUGAAGAAAAGUAUGUGCAUAACUGCAUACUUGCAGGAAUAGAAGAUAGAUAAAUAUGACCUUGCGUA